rnacentral:misc_RNA from 1 species
AACGCACGAGACCUGCGGACCUGCGGAAGGAUCAUUACCGAGUUUACAAAACUCCCAAACCCUUUGUGAACCUUACCUAUCGUUGCUUCGGCGGGAACGCCCCGGCGCCCUCGCGGCCCGGAACCAGGCGCCCGCCGGAGGCCCCAAACCCUCAUGUCUUUAGUGGUUUCCUCCUCUGAGUGACAUAAACAAAUAAAGUAAAAACUUUCAGCAACGGAUCUCUAGAUCGGAAGAGCACAC